GACAGGUGCCAUCAACAAAACUGAUUUUGUUUUUAGCAGAUAACGCGACAAUCAUCUUCCUCCUCCAACCCCCAUAGCCACUGCCCAAGAAGGGAGUGGACACAAGGGAGACUCCAGGAACAACAGAGGAGUAGAUAAAAAGGAGACUGGUAGAGUCCACUGAGGAGGUACUAGCAUUCAUAUUAGAAGCCAUGAACAAUAAUCAGUUUGUAAUAAAAAAAGAUAGUCUCAGAACCCACAUGCAAAACACACAACACUUAGAACAGGGAUAGAGUUACCCUCCUUCUUCGCAACCGGAGAAGAACGGCCUUCA
rnacentral:lncRNA from 1 species